UGGCAGAGGGAGAAAUUAGAAAGAUUCCACCUGAGAAAGUUCGGAGGCGUCAUUGCUGGUUUUGCGAUGUAGAGGCUCACAUAGGAAGUCUGUAGACAGGUUACUAGGAGCUGACACCAGCAACCACCAGUUGACACAGGCAAGAAAACAAUGACCUACAACUGUACAAGGUACUGGGAAUGGUGAUACAACUGCAAACAACUAAAUUCUGCCAAAACCUUAAUAAACCUGGAAAUGUACUCCUACCAGAACUUCCCAAUAAGAUCCCUGUUGAUUGUCACCUUCCUUUGGACCUUGCUGGACGUUGAACCAGGGGAGCUGGUUGAGCCCACUCAGACUUCGGACCUACAGAAGUGUGAGGUCUUGUGCAGGUCCAGACUCAGAGUGAAGAACGUGAAGAUCUUGCUGCCUCAGGUGAGAAACUUAAAUGGAUGUCAAAUAAACUCAGUAAUCAAGGUAAAUGAUAAUGUAAUAUUUUAUUAAAUCAAAAUUAAUGUGGGAAAUCCAUGAUGAACAACAUAUUAACAUUGUAAAUUAAGACAAAAUCAAUAUUACUGAUGUUUUCUUUUGCUUCAUGCUUCCAUGUGGCUUGGCAAUGGUGCUGUGCUGUUACUGAUCCUAUGGGACUGCUGAGCAUCUGCUAGAGAUGAUAACAAAAAGAGUCAAAGGUUCUAGAUUUUGAGGCCUUUGAAGAUAGAAACAAUGGAGCCAGUUCCUUGAACACAGGAGUUAAUCAAUGACAGAGAAUAGAAAUAUGAGAUGUGACAAUGGAAAUGAUAAUGAAAGGAUGAAUGUUAAAUACAUUGCAGAGGAGUAAGAACUGGCAAGAAUUGACAAAUGAUGAGUUAAGCGAGAAGGAGAAUCUUUGGAGGAAAAGCUGAUCUGUGAGACAAUAAAGGAAAAGUGUUAAUGUUUAUGCCAUAUGAACCUUUAGAAGGAAAUCAUUUUCUGACGGAAGCUUGCUUGUAUCAAUACAUCCAUGCAUGGAAAGAAAUAUUCUCUUCAACAUCCCCAUGUCUUUUGUAUGCUAUCCUAUUCCACCAGCCCUGAAUUAGUGCUUUUGCUCUGCAGCUAACUCUCUCAAGUUCCUCUUUUUGAAGUCCGAAUCUCUCUCUUGAAUGUUUCUGGCCUCAGUAUCUACCCUGUAAACACACUAAACCUGAUCCAUUUACAGACUAGAUAGUUUUUUGGUCCAAAAGAUAAUUCAUGGAAUUUCCCUAAUAAAUAUAUAUUAAUUUCUAUUACUUUAACAAUUGAUUUUCAUUGAUCCUGAUGAGGAUUGGCUAUUAGUUCAUUACUAUGUGUAUUUUGUAAAGAUAUACAUGGCUGGCAGAAAAGAAGAUAUUGUAUGCCAUAAAAUAUUAUGAGACAAUUUUUUAAAAAUAAG
rnacentral:lncRNA from 1 species